UACAGAGGUGGCAAGCGUUGUUCGGAAUUACUGGGCGUAAAGGGCGCGUAGGCGGCCUACUAAGUCAGACGUGAAAUCCCCCGGCUUAACCUGGGAACUGCAUCCGAUACUGGAGGGCUUGAGUUUGGGAGAGGGAUGCGGAAUUCCAGGUGUAGCGGUGAAAUGCGUAGAUAUCUGGAGGAACACCGGUGGCGAAGGCGGCAUCCUGGACCAACACUGACGCUGAGGAGCGAAAGCCAGGGGAGCAAACGGG
rnacentral:rRNA from 1 species